CUUUUUUAGAAAUAAUUAAAAGUAAAUUCUGCUCAGUGCAAUAGUAAAUAGCCGCAGUAUUUUGACUGUGCAAAGGUAGCAUAAUAAUUAGUCUUAUAAUUUAAGACUGGAAUGAAAGAAUAAACGAGACAAGCCUUUUCUUAAUUAUUAUUUUUAAAAUUUACUUUUUAGUAAAAAGGCUAAAAUAUUUCCUUAAGACAAAAAGACCCUAUAAAGCUUUACACUAAAUAAUUUAAUAAAUUAACUGUGUGUUUAACUGGGGCGGUAGAGAGAAAAACACUCUUAUAUAAAAAAAAAUAGAAAUAUUUUAAUACCCAAAAUUUUUGAAGAUUAAAUAAGUUACUUUAGGGAUAACAGCGUUAUACAUUUAGAAAGCUCAAAUAGACAAGUGUGUUUGCGACCUCGAUGUUGGAUUAGGUUUCCUUUAUUACGCAAGAGUAAUAUGAAAGGAGGUCUGUUCGACCUUUAAAUACCUCCA
rnacentral:rRNA from 1 species